GAUGCAUAGCCGACCUGAGAGGGUGAACGGCCACACUGGGACUGAGACACGGCCCAGACUCCUACGGGAGGCAGCAGUAGGGAAUCUUCCGCAAUGGACGAAAGUCUGACGGAGCAACGCCGCGUGAACGAUGAAGGUUUUCGGAUCGUAAAGUUCUGUUGUUGGGAAGAACAAACUUCGUUUGAAUAAGGCGGAGUCGUGACGGUACCUAACGAGAAAGCCACGGCUAACUAC
rnacentral:rRNA from 1 species